UACGUAGGGGGCUAGCGUUGUCCGGAAUCAUUGGGCGUAAAGCGCGUGUAGGCGGUUCGGUAAGUCCGCUGUGAAAGUCGGGGGCUCAACCCUCGAAAGCCGGUGGAUACUGUCGGACUAGAGUACGGAAGAGGCGAGUGGAAUUCCUGGUGUAGCGGUGAAAUGCGUAGAUAUCUGGAGGAACACCGGUGGCGAAGGCGGCAUCCUGGACCGAUAUUGACGCUGAUGCGCGAAAGCCAGGGGAGCAAACGGG
rnacentral:rRNA from 1 species